rnacentral:lncRNA from 1 species
AUGCUCUCUCUCUCUUACACACACACAUAUGCACUCACACACACAUGUUCUCUCUCUCUCACACACACACACUGUUUGUUCUGCUCUUCUAGAGAACCUGCAUCACACAAGUACCAUAGAGUACACAUACACACACAUACACACACACAUGCACUCUCUCUCUCUUACACACACACACAUGCACUCACACACACACAUGCUCUCUCU